UCCAGAUUUGCUUCUCCCGCCGACCUAACUUCCCGACGUCACUACCGCUUCGUCCGACCACCUAUGGCCAUAAAAUUAGUACCUAUCUCUUCGUCUUGAAACAAGCUUUCCAUCAAUAUAUCCCUUGCAUCCUAUCAUGCACUAUAGACGACGAAUCGAAGCCAAGAAGUUUACUGUAGCAAAUUGGGUUUUUUGGCUAUUUCUUCAAAUCCCGGCCAAAUCUGGCCAAAUCGGAUGUUGAGGCUAACUGGGCUUUGUUCCUCUUGCGAUGUUCUACCAACCUACCAAGUUUCAUCAUCAAAUUUGAGCUGUGGAAGGAGAAUCGGAGAUUUGAGCAAAAUUGAGGGUUUUGUUCCGAUUUUCAGGACGUGAGGAGGAACCACACAGGGAGAAACUUCGAAUAAACAGCAAGCUUAGCUGUGUACUUUGCAGGCGAAAUUAGUUGAGGUCGGGCGUACAUGGAAUUGAGGCAUAGUCAACAGCAUGGCUUCCGCGUUUGCCUUUGAAUUAGGUUUUCCUUGUUUACCUUUCUAUUAGAAUUGCUCUGAUUACCUGUGGAAUUAAUGUUAUUCAAGUUGCGUUUUGGUUUUAUGUGAAUUGGACAAUGUUGUGAUUUGGGGAGCAGAUGGCUCCAGGAGAAUAAGGAUUGAUGAUUUAGAAGUGUAAAUGUUUCCUACAGGUUUUGGGUAGCCUACUUUUAGGGGAAGUUCCGCCAAAUUUUCGGUAGAAUUUCUUCUAAAGUGGGCCCCGCAGGGCCACUUCGGAUUUCGGGGUGAAAUCCGGGGCAGGUCCUGUCAAGUUUGGUGGGAAUCGGAAGAGAUUUGGUAUCGAUCGGAAUUUCCGAGGUUCAAUAGUUUGGUUAUUGAUUUACGAGAAUUCCACCGUCCGAUUUCUCUCAAUUCUGCCCUAGAAACUUUGAAUUAAAGAAUUGGUGUUAAUGAUGAAGUUUUGGUUUAAUCGGAGAAGAAAUAGAAAUGUUAAUUUAUAAGGAUUUGAUGUGGGAAUCGUAUUUAAUUUCCGGAUUGUUAUUCACGAAUUAUAAUUGUGUACAGGGCGACGUGUUGAACUACUGCUCGACGUAGG